rnacentral:tRNA from 1 species
GCAGGUAAGCUUAAGGUUAGUCCUUGGCCUUCCAAGCCAUAGAGAGUGGAGUUCGACUCUCCCUGCCUGCUCCA